rnacentral:rRNA from 1 species
GACGAACGCUGGCGGUGCGCUUAACACAUGCAAGUCGAACGGUAAGGCCCUUUCGGGGGUACACGAGUGGCGAACGGGUGAGUAACACGUGAGUAACCUGCCCUCAUCUCUGGGAUAACAGUCGGAAACGGUUGCUAAUACUGGAUAUGAGCUUGCAAGGCAUCUUGUGGGUUGGAAAGAUUUUUUUUGGUUGGGGAUGGACUCGCGGCCUAUCAGCUUGUUGGUGAGGUAGUGGCUCACCAAGGCUUCGACGGGUAGCCGGCCUGAGAGGGCGACCGGCCACAUUGGGACUGAGAUACGGCCCAAACUCCUACGGGAGGCAGCAGUGGGGAAUAUUGCACAACGGACGGAAGUCUGAUGCAGCAACGCCGCGUGCGGGAUGACGGCCUUCGGGUUGUAAACCGCUUUCAAUUGUGACGAAGCUUUUUUGUGACGGUAGCAGUAGAAGAAGCACCGGCUAACUACGUG